rnacentral:rRNA from 1 species
UACGUAGGGGGCGAGCGUUGUCCGGAUUUAUUGGGCGUAAAGAGCUCGUAGGCGGUUCGGUAAGUCGGGUGUGAAAUCUCCACGCUCAACGUGGAGGGGCCACUCGAUACUGCCGUGACUGGAGUCCGGUAGAGGAGUGUGGAAUUCCCGGUGUAGCGGUGAAAUGCGCAGAUAUCGGGAGGAACACCAGUAGCGAAGGCGGCGCUCUGGGCCGGUACUGACGCUGAGGAGCGAAAGCGUGGGGAGCAAACAGG